CCAGAGAACUUAGCAGAGAUGCUUUGGUGCCUUCGGGAACUCUGAGACAGGUGCUGCAUGGCUGUCGUCAGCUCGUGUUGUGAAAUGUUGGUUAAGUCCCGCAACGAGCGCAACCCUUAUCCUUUGUUGCCAACGGUCCGGCCGGGAACUCAAAGGAGACUGCCAGUGAUAAACUGGAGGAAGGUGGGGAUGACGUCAAGUCAUCAUGGCCCUUACGAGUAGGGCUACACACGUGCUACAAUGGCGCAUACAAAGAGAAGCGACCUCGCGAGAGCAAGCGGACCUCAUAAAGUGCGUCGUAGUCCGGAUUGGAGUCUGCAACUCGACUCCAUGAAGUCGGAAUCGCUAGUAAUCGUGGAUCAGAAUGCCACGGUGAAUACGUUCCCGGGCCUUGUACACACCGCCCGUCACACCAUGGGAGUGGGUUGCAAAAGAAGUAGGUAGCUUAACCUUCGGGAGGGCGCUUACCACUUUGUGAUUCAUGACUGGGGUGAAGUCGUAACAAGGUAGGCGUAGUGCU
rnacentral:rRNA from 1 species